rnacentral:rRNA from 1 species
CCUACGGGAGGCAGCAGUGGGGAAUUUUGGACAAUGGGCGCAAGCCUGAUCCAGCAAUGCCGCGUGAGUGAAGAAGGCCUUCGGGUUGUAAAGCUCUUUUGUCAGGGAAGAAACGGUGGAGGCUAAUAUCCUUUGCUAAUGACGGUACCUGAAGAAUAAGCACCGGCUAACUACGUGCCAGCAGCCGCGGUAAUACGUAGGGUGCAAGCGUUAAUCGGAAUUACUGGGCGUAAAGCGUGCGCAGGCGGUUUUGUAAGUUUGUCGUGAAAUCCCCGGGCUCAACCUGGGAAUGGCGAUGAAGACUGCAAGGCUAGAAUCUGGCAGAGGGGGGUUAGAAUUCCACGUGUAGCAGUGAAAUGCGUAGAGAUGUGGAGGAACACCGAUGGCGAAGGCAGCCCCCUGGGUCAAGAUUGACGCUCAUGCACGAAAGCGUGGGGAGCAAACAGGAUUAGAUGCCCUGGUAGUCCACGCCCUAAACGAUGUCUACUAGUUGUCGGGUUUUAAUUAACUUGGUAACGCAGCUACGCGUGAGUAGACCGCCGNGGGNGGUACGGUCGGUCGAGAGUUAAACGUACGAAGUUAGUAGUUGNGNGNGAGNGCGACGACGACGACGACGGAGGAGG